rnacentral:rRNA from 1 species
CCUACGGGUGACAGCAGUGAGGAAUAUUGGUCAAUGGCCGGAAGGCUGAACCAGCCAAGUCGCGUGAGGGACGACUGCCCUCUGGGUUGUAAACCUCUUUUAUAAGGGAAGAAUAAAUGCUACGUGUAGCAUGAUGCCUGUACCUUAUGAAUAAGCAUCGGCUAACUCCGUGCCAGCAGCCGCGGUAAUACGGAGGAUGCGAGCGUUAUCCGGAUUUAUUGGGUUUAAAGGGUGCGUCGGCGGUUUUUUAAGUUAAUGGUUAAACGUCGGGGCUUCACCUUGAUUUGCCAUUAAUACUGUAAGACUAGAGUUCAGAAGAGGUAGGCGGAAUAAGUAAAGUAGCGGUGAAAUGCGUAGAUAUUAGAUAGAACUCCGAUGGCGAAGGCAGCUUACCAGACUGCGACUGACGCUGAAGCACGAGAGCGUGGGUAGCGAACAGGAUUAGAUACCCGGGUAGUC